rnacentral:rRNA from 1 species
GACGAACGCUGGCGGCGUGCUUAACACAUGCAAGUCGAACGGAAAGGCCCUGCUUUUGUGGGGUGCUCGAGUGGCGAAGGGGUGAGUAACACGUGAGUAACCUGCCCUUGACUUUGGGAUAACUUCAGGAAACUGGGGCUAAUACAGGAUAGGAGCUCCUGCUGCAUGGUGGGGGUUGGAAAGUUUCGGCGGUUGGGGAUGGAAUCGCGGCUUAUCAGCUUGUUGGUGGGGUAGUGGAUUACCAAGGCUUUGACGGGUAGCCGGCCUGGGAGGGUGACCGGCCACCUUGGGCCUGCGGUACGGCCCAGACUCCUACGGGAGGCAGCAGUGGGGAAUAUUGCGCAAUGGGCGGAAGCCUGAUGCAGCAACGCCGCGUGCGGGAUGACGGCCUUCGGGUUGUAAACCGCUUUCGCCUGUGACGAAGCGUGAGUGACGGUAAUGGGUAAAGAAGCACCGGCUAACUACGUG